AGGGCGCACCGCACCACACGAGCGAAAUCCACAGCGAGCGAGCGAGGCCACAGCGAUCGAGCCAGAGGAAAAAAGGCAUCGAACCCUAGCCCCAAUCCACAGCCCCGCGCCUCUCGCUCCUCCCUCCCUCGUCCGCCGCCACUCCCUCCCACCUCCUCCUCCUGCGCCCUAGGAGCCCCGCCGGCGACUGCUACUCCUCCACCGCCUCGCCUCUUCCUCCUCCUCGCCUUCCCAUCGCUCGUCUUCAGGCCGCAGCGGUGGUUCCCGAUCUGAGCCGUCUUCAGGUGCGUGGAGCGACGGAGGUAGGCUCCCUCCUCCACGGUCGCGCGGCGGGAGAGGAGUCAGCCCCGGUGCUCUGCCUCUCCAUCCGUCUCCGCAAGCUAUCGUCCGAUGCCGUCGUUGCCCGCCAUCAUCUUCAUCUUGCUCGCUGCCUGCUUGCUAGAGAGCCAUGUCUUUCCUCGCUGUAGGUUCUGGCGUUCUGCCAUGGCUUUUCUUGUCCCGUCCCACUCGCCUCCCCCUCCUCGUCACCCUCCUCUCUCUCUCUCUCUUUCUCGCUCACUGCCAAGAAGCCGCCGGAGGAGGAACUCGACCUGGACGACCGCCGCUGGACGAAGAGCCCCGAAAAAAUCCCCCAACCACCCCUGCGCCACCGCCUCUUCACCUUCGACCACGGGUUGCAACGUACGGUCAGAGGACCAAGUUGGAGCAUACUAGGCAAAUGGACCUUGCCGUGAGUCGUGGUGCAACAGUGACCUCGAUGGGCAGGGCAAUGGUCAGAUACGAGUCAGCACCGAAGAUGACUGUAAGCACUCAAAAAAGUUUACCACGCUAGAGCUAUGUCAGGUUGUAUGAGGGCAGUUAAUGAAUAUACUUGUGACACUUAAACUCUCAGGCAAGCUUGCUCUCAGCAAUGCCAACAAACAUGGUUUAUGAUGAUAUUGGUGGUCUGAAGCUUUAGAUCGUCGGGGCUGCUCUCAUUUGUUCAAUUUGCCAGUGAUCCUUCCAUUCUACUGCUGCUCAUUAUUAUCACAUGAAGGAGGUGUUCUUCCGUUACAAUACUCCUGACGUGUUCCAUGAAAUGUCUAUGAGCUGGAACAUGUAUAUCCUUUCAAGUUCACUGAUGCGGUUACCACUACAACACACGUCCCUCCAAGGACCAAGGGUGGGCAUGAUCUUCUACAAGGUUGUUGUCUGUGACUAUUAGUACGGGAUCAACUUUGCGGUGUCCCCAUCGCUUCAAGUCAAGCUAAUAGAGCUAAAUGGGUAUCCAAUUUUAGAAAGCACACUUAAGAAACAUGAACACGUGUCUUUAGAUCCUAUGGAGCAUUCCUAAUAAUGACCAUCUAUUUAACUAUCUUGGAUCAUUACCAUUACAAAAUGCAGCAUGGCAUUCAUAAUGUUCAGUUAUUCAUAAAUGUGGCAUUUAAUUAUUCUCCUGGCAUGAUAUUUAAGCAUGUUGCAUAUACCAAUCUGUUGAUAAUUCAAUUAUUGAUUCUGAUGUACAAACAUGCAAAACCAUUGCCUGUUUGGAUGAUGCACAUGAGUAUGUUUUUGUUAGUUUUCGGUGAUGUACGUCGUGAAGCGGGACGGGCGGACGGAGACGGUGCACUUUGACAAGAUCACGGUGCGGCUCAAGAAGCUCAGCAAUGGGCUCAGCCAGGAGCACCGCGACCCCGUGCUCGGUCUGCGUCAGGGUAUACAUGGGCGCCACCACCAGCCAGCUCGCCGCCGAGACCGCCGCCGUGCUCACCGCCUCCCAGCCUGACUAUGCCUCCCUGAAAGAUUAGCGAGACUGGCUAAAUUCUGAACAUGUUCCAUGUGAGAGAAAUAGCAUGUUGAUUUCAUCUUGAAAUAAUCAUAGCUGAGGGACGAGCUUCGUAACUAAGGGUCAUGUGUAGAGCUGAAGGAAGAAGUUGCGAGGCUUGGAACUCUCCUUGUGAAGGGCUCAGGGACAGCAGUGAGGACAAUGCCUCUUUAGUUGUAAUUGUGAUACUCCUGAUCUGCAAGUAAACACUCCUGUGAUACUAAAUGUUGGUUGUUAGUACAGAGGUGAUGCCAUUACUUGGUUCUUUGGUACUCCCUCUGUCCGGAAAAGCUUGUCCCUCGAAUGGAUGUAUCUAGCACCAAGUUAGUGCUAGAUACAUCCAUUUGAGAAACAAGCUUGGGACAAGCUUUUUCGGACGGAGGGAGUAUUGAUUUCAUGAUUUGUGGUUAAUACAUGAUGUAAUACAAUCUACACUGCAUUAUAUUUCCAGUUACAUAUCUUA